UUUUUUUUAUGAUUAUGAUGAUAUGUAUGUAUAUGUGUGAGUGUAUUUAAAAUCUUUUUAAUUCAAUUCAAAUUCACUUCAUUGCUGGAAUUUCUUCCAAAAAUUGUCUCGCAUCCCAUAUUGUUUACUGUCUAACAUUAAUUCACAUCAAUACACACACACACACACUGCUAUGGUUUAGAAAGAAGAAUUGUGCCUUCCAAAAUAAAAUGAUUUUCAUGCAGAAUAAUGCACCAUUACUGAAAAAAAACACCAUUGAUUCCUUGAUUGCUAUGGACAUGAAAAGAGCCAGCAUCACCCCCUGACCCCACUCCUAUUGAGAACCUGCGGAGCAUCCUUGAAAUGAAGAUCUAUGAGGGUUGGCGGCAGUUACCCCCAAACAACAGCUCUGGGAUCCUCAAAUGAAAUACUGCCAGAAACUAUACAUGGACUUACAAGUUCAAUGGAUGAGAGAAUUGUUAAAGUCAUCUCCAAGAAGGGAAUACAACCACCAGAAAUCAAAACAUCUGAAAGAAAGGACAACUGGAACUAUGCUGGAGAGCUUCAAACUGAAGAAAAUAAGUCCAACCAACAGGAGGAGCAUGAUAGGAAAAUAAGUGCAGACACAUGAUAAUUCUUCAAAGAAUGGUGUAUAUCAAUAAAUGCAAUUUUAAACUGUA
ensembl:lncRNA